UAGGGAAUCUUCGGCAAUGGGGGCAACCCUGACCGAGCAACGCCGCGUGAGUGAAGAAGGUUUUCGGAUCGUAAAGCUCUGUUGUAAGAGAAGAACGUAUGUGAGAGUGGAAAGUUCACACAGUGACGGUAACUUACCAGAAAGGGACGGCUAACUACGCGCCAG
rnacentral:rRNA from 1 species